AGGUGUGGGGAUUUGCUGGGAAAGCACAUGAGAAAACUUUCUAGAUGAUAGUGUCCUAGAAACAACCACAUGCUGGAGAAUGGAAUUCCAUAAGGUACUCUCUUAGAUAAAGGAAGUGCCAGCCAUCCUGUUGCCAUCUGCUAAAAUCCUCAGCCCACCUGCAUAGUGAACAGCAUUCAUUGUUUUCCAGAAAUGUGCAAGAACCACAGUCUCCCCCAAGACUGAAGAUCUGCUUCAUCGACAUGGCAGGGAACGUGGCUGAACACAGAGGACUCAUUUUUGCAGCUUCCCUACCAGAGAGAGAGAGACACCCUUUUUACCCGAGUUCUGAGUUGAAAUAUCCUAGAAGAGAACUCUGAUUGGCCUGGCUUGGGUCACAUGCCUGUCCUUGAGUUGAUCAACUGUGAUUAGUUAUAAGUGUACUCAUUAGUAACUUCCCCUGGAACCUUAGAUUUGAUGUGGGGUAAGACUUCCAAAAACAAACAAAAAAAUAAAACAGAAGAAUGCUGGUAACAUCAGGAAGCAUACUAUGUAAGACAGAUACAAAGGGGAGCUGCUGUAUGGUAAAUUUGAAGUCAACUGAGACUCCCUGUGGUUUUCCCCAAAACCUGAUAAUAAGUCAAGAGUUAAGAAGGUAUGGAGAGGAAAUUAAGCUGGAGUGCACUUUGGUCCCAGCUCCACUACAACACUAUUUUGUGACCACAGGAAAUGAAGCUUGCAAUAUUGCCAGACCACAAAGCCAGACAUCUCUGCUACAUUUUCUAGCAAAAGAGGUUUCAUGGAGAGCUUACUUCCUCAAGUUCACUUUGGUCUUAAUGAACGGUUAAGUCUCAUGGGUGGAACACAGAUUAUCUACCUGUGCUUUAACUACAAAGUAGCCUGGUGAGGCACUGAUGGAGAUCUAAAAGCAUCAGGACCAUCUGGGAAAUCAUGGCCUCACCAAAUGAACUAAGUAAGGAACCAGUGACCAAUCCUGGAGAGACAUAGGAGAUCUCUUAACCAGUUGACCAAUCAACCAUCACUCUGUUCCAUCUAGUCUUACUGAGGCCCACUGAUCAGUAGACCUCCUCGACAUUCAAUGUUCUUCUCCCAUCAGCUAAAUUAUAUAUUUAUUAGGU
rnacentral:lncRNA from 1 species